ACCAUCCAUUAGUGAACUUGAAGGCAAAAUCGAAUUAAACGACAGUAGUAGUAUCACGACUAUAUGACACUAGUUUUCAGAUUAACAUGACUAAAUCUAUACUCAACAUUCAGAUAGUCUUAUGACUUUGCACUUGGAUUACUGAAGUAUUAUUAGAACUGACUUAACAUAAAACUGGGCUCACAUAUUGGUUUUCAAUUACUGGAAGUUGAACUAUACUACAUAAAGAUUUCUCACUUAGAUGGAAUAAGAUUAGAUACACGAUCUCGUAGUCCAGUACAGUCCACAAGUUAACAAAAUAGUCCCUAGUUAUUACUUAUAUAAAUCAACACUUAACUACAUUAAAUAUCUAUUUAACUAUAAGUAUGUAACUAUCCAGCAGGCAUAUUUCAGGAUCCACAAACAGGCAGUUUUAUUCCAUUUUCAGGCUUGGAAUUACAACAGAAAAUGUGUACCUGGUAUUGGAAAUACAAGAAGAAAAAGGAGUAGUCAGCAACAACAGUACAACACAACAAUAACAACAGCAGCAGCAAAUAACACCAGCAACAACAAAGCCAAGUUCAAGACCAAACCACAGUCAAAAUGCCCAGGAAGUUUGAAAACCAAACAGAGUCGACAGAUCAAGCCUCAACACAAUACCAAAACUCAAGAAUGAAUCAGGGACUGGAGUAUAAGCAACCAGCUGAUCUAUCCAAUGGCUCAAACCAACAGACUCGAAGAAAACAUGCAAAGGGAUUGAAUUCUAACUCGAAACUAAAUGCUCUCUCAGAUUGAUUCAAAAAAGGACCUCACAAGACUGAUUCCAGGACUAAAAGAGGGCCAAAAUUUUGUUUUGAGAACUGUUGCCAAUAGCUCUCAAGAACUGAUUUUAAACUUUCAAAAAAAAACUACCCUCUUCAAAUUGAUUAAAAGAGGCCCUAAAAAUUGAUUUUCAGUACCUUUUCUAACUGAUUAAAGACUCUAAAAAGCGAUCUCUCAAACUUGAAGCAGAGAAUUUUAAAACUGUUCAUGAUUUUCAGGAAGCUGGACUACUGGCUGAGAUUUUUGACAAGUUAAUUAAGGCAAUGGAACAGUAAAAAACUCUCUCAACUCUCUUCCUUAUUGUCUUUUUCAGAAUAUUCAAACUUAAGAUUGCUUAUUAGAAUGUUCUCCUCCCUUACUUCUAGUUCAAGUCCCCUUUUAUGUCUCUACUCAUCUCUAUAUUUAAACCCAAACUCUUCAACCCUUUUCAGCCCUCCUUUUUUCUUUAUAGCUGUAUGAAGGAUCUUUUAUUAUUACCCUUAAGUUUCUUUGCUUUCCAGAGAAUCCUUUUAGUUUUUUCAUUAUUAUUUCACUCUUUUUACUUUCCAAUCUUCUUUUUCUUUUAUUUACAUCACUAUGUCUUGUUCCCCCACUACAAUAUUUUAAUGUUACUUUAGUGCUUAGUGGACAGAACAUCCAAAAUAACCAUUUUCAUACUUUUAAAAAUCCCAAAUUACCCUUGAAAACUCUGAAACUACAGCUAUAACCAAUUCUCCUAAGUUCUGGACUGAACUUCAACUAAAAUGCAACCUUCUAACUCACUGCUAUCCAAUUAACACUAUAAAACUGAAUUCAAACCAAUGUCAAAUCCACAUCAGGCCCUAGGAUUCAAUAAGAAACAUUAUGAUUCAAAUCAUUAAACAUAUCAAACAAUUCUGACCUUACAUUGGAUCACACAUCAUAACAAUAUAGAUGAAGGAUCUAGGGAAUAGACUGACUAAAACAAAACAAAUGAACAAUUUGAAUACACUGAACGACACCAAACUAAAUUUAAACUAAAACAUCACAUUAACACCACACAGAACUUGACAAAAUAGUGAAGCUGAACCAAAUAUCAUAUUAAUACUGCACAUCAAAUUUCAAUGACAGUUCGUACUCACAUCCCAAACCAAAUCGAACAGUCAUUGAAAAAAAGAUGAAUGGUUGAAGUGAGAUAGUACACAUGGAACUAGGCUAAAAUGAAAGGCUAACUACACAGGGAACGCCUUAAGCUUCAAUAAAUUCAAAAAUGAAAGAGGUGUGGCAUUGAAUUCGCAUAUCUAAAACUAACACAUAAUGUAGAACAACCUUGGCAAAAUGAUCAUUUUGAACAAAAUAAAAGAAAAGAACAAAGGAAAGCAAUAAUCGAAACAACACUGAAUACAUAAACUUACAAAGACAAAAUAACAAAACAAAAACUCACCGGAUGAACUGGAACUCAAAACCUGGUGCCCUUAACUUGCAUUUAGACUCCCAUUUGGGUUUUGAGAUCGAAAUAAACCUUAAUCGAGUGUUCUCGACUGAGAACAUUCGACUAAGGUCGAUUACGACCUCAAUUUCUUCAAAUUUUCCUUAACCCCAGAGUUAGGUUUUCUUAGUCGAUUUUUCUAAUCGAAAGUUCGACCCCUUUGGUACUGAUUCGAGGAAAACUGUUAGGAUAGUGGGAAUGGGGAGGCUUAGGUGGUCAAAGGGUGGCUUCGAUUCGAUAUUCGAGAGGUUCCAGGUCGAUUCAAAGGAAACCAAUGAGGUUCAAGUGGUAAGAAAGGUCCAGGGGUUAAGAGGUGUGAGUUUGAUAGUCGUGAGAUGAAAUAGGGUUUCUGACUGAAUCUUUGAUCGAAGAUUCGAAGACGUUGGCUGGUAUUUGGAGGAUAAGGUUGAGGGAUUUGGGAUGGGGGGGGCAAAGUGAGUUCAAGGUGCGAAAAUGGAGAGGUUUGGCCACCGUCCGCCGCCGUGGGCGACCUCCGGCGGCGGAGGGCGGUGGCUCGAGGUCUGGUCUCUGAAGACUCGGGGAUGAAGAGAGGAAGGGGGGAGGUCAGGCUUGGGGUGUGGGGUGAAGCUUUGGGCUUACAUACUAGG
rnacentral:lncRNA from 1 species